UUACUGUACUUACUUUUCAAAGAGCUCCAGAAGAGGCUGAGCCACAUGGCAGAGAAGCGAAAGUCUUUUAUUCAGAAGCCCAUGAAGCUGUAAAACAUGAGAUGCGAGAUAUCAAGGAAACACUUUUCCUU